UCGUUGGAGAGUUUGAUCCUGGCUCAGGACGAACGCUGGCGGCGUGCCUAAUGCAUGCAAGUCGAGCGACGCGCACUACGGUGCGACGGAGCGGCGAACGGGUGAGUAACACGUGAGCAACCUGCCCUGAAGACCGGAAUAGCCCGGGGAAACCCGGAGUAAUGCCGGAUAAUCUCGCAAUGUCACAUGAUCUGCGAGGAAACGCCUUUGUGCUUCAGGAUGGGCUCACGGCCUAUCAGCUAGUUGGUGAGGUAACGGCUCACCAAGGCGACGACGGGUAGCUGGUCUGAGAGGACGAUCAGCCACACUGGGACUGAGACACGGCCCAGACUCCUACGGGAGGCAGCAGCAGGGAAUAUUGCGCAAUGGGCGAAAGCCUGACGCAGCGACGCCGCGUGGGGGAUGAAGGCCUUCGGGUUGUAAACCCCUUUCAGGAGGGAAGAAAUUGACGGUACCUCCAAAAGAAGCCCCGGCCAACUACGUGCCAGCAGCCGCGGUAAGACGUAGGGGGCGAGCGUUGUCCGGAAUCAUUGGGCGUAAAGGGCUCGUAGGCGGCUCGGUAAGUUGAUCGUGAAAUCCCGGAGCUCAACUCCGGAACUGCGGUUGAUACUGCCGUGGCUAGAGUCAGGUAGAGGAGAGUAGAAUUCCCGGUGUAGCGGUGGAAUGCGCAGAUAUCGGGAGGAAUACCAUUUAGCGAAGGCGGCUCUCUGGGCCUGUACUGACGCUGAGGAGCGAAAGCGUGGGUAGCAAACAGGAUUAGAUACCCUGGUAGUCCACGCCGUAAACGUUGGGCACUAGGCGUGGUGGCCUGAUCAAGGGCUGCUGUGCCGACGCUAACGCAUUAAGUGCCCCGCCUGGGGAGUACGGCCGCAAGGCUAAAACUCAAAGGAAUUGACGGGUCCCCGCACAAGCGGCGGAGCAUGCGGCUUAAUUCGAUGCAACCCGAAGAACCUUACCUAGGUUUGACAUUAUGGGAAAAGCCAUGGAAACAUGCAUGGCUGUCGUCAGCUCGUGUCGUGAGAUGUUGGGUUAAGUCCCGCAACGAGCGCAACCCUCGUCCUAUGUUGCCAGCGGGUAAAGCCGGGGACUCAUAGGAGACCGCCGGGGACAACUCGGAGGAAGGUGAGGAUGACGUCAAGUCAGUAUGCCCCUUACACCUAGGGCUGCACGCAUGCUACAAUGGCCGGUACAACGGGCAGCGAUCCUGCGAAGGUGAGCGAAUCCCUUAAAGCCGGCCCCAGUUCGGAUUGGAGUCUGCAACUCGACUCCAUGAAGCCGGAGUCGCUAGUAAUCGCGGAUCAGCAAAGCCGCGGUGAAUACGUUCUCGGGGAUUGUACACACCGCCCGUCACGUCACGAAAGUCGGCAACGCCCGAAGUCAGUGGCCUAACCCGCAAGGGAAGGAACUGCCGAAGGUGGGGUCGGUGAUUGGGACGAAGUCGUAACAAGGUAGCCGUACGGGAACGUGCGGCUGGAUCACCUCCUUU
rnacentral:rRNA from 1 species